rnacentral:rRNA from 1 species
AUGGCAACUACAAGGCCUCCAUCUACAAGACCUCAAGACUUAUUGACUCAAGACAAUAAUUCAAUACACAAUACUGGGUGGAGGAUGAUUUUCAUCGGCACCCUCAAGCAACCAAUGGAUGACCCGGGAUGCAUGGAGAAGCGCCAUGCCAUCUUGCAUAAAGCUUCGCCCAGACUCAAAAAGAUGGAAGAAUACUUCAUGCCCGGAAGCUUACCGGUCCAGCCACAAGUCAAUAUGGGCUCUGGCUUGGUUGAUCUUAGUGGUGAAUCUGGCUGGACAGUUUCUAGCAGAUGUAGUUGA